rnacentral:rRNA from 1 species
GACGUAGGGCGCGAGCGUUGUCCGGAUUUAUUGGGCGUAAAGAGCUCGUAGGCGGCUUGUUACGUCGACUGUGAAAUCCCGCGGCUCAACUGCGGGCUUGCAGCCGAUACGGGCAGACUAGAGUGCGGUAGGGGAGAUCGGAAUUCCUGGUGUAGCGGUGAAAUGCGCAGAUAUCAGGAGGAACACCGGUGGCGAAGGCGGAUCUCUGGGCCGUAACUGACGCUGAGGAGCGAAAGCAUGGGGAGCGAACAGG